rnacentral:rRNA from 1 species
AUGCUACAGUGCAAAUCAGUGGUGCCUGAGCUGCACUGGUGGGUUCAGGGCCACACUUUUAGCUACCCAAUGAAAGUACUAGACCUAGGAGGAUAUGAUAUGAUCCUGGGGAUGGAUUGGCUAGAGCAAUGGGGUGAAAUGACUUGUCAGUGGAAAGAAAAAUGGGUGAGGUUCCAAUUUCAAGACCAGCUCAUAACCUUGCAAGGCUUGUUACCUCCAGCCAACCCGGUGUUACAAGAAGUAUCAGUUGAGCAAGCCAUGAGAUGGCACACUGGUAAUGACAUUUGGGCAACUGCUUUGAUCACUCCUGUGAUGUCAAAAACACCAAAUGAAAUUCCGAAUGAGGUGCAAGUAGUGAUACAAGAAUUUGCGGAUGUGUUCCAAGAUCCUAAAACAUUACCCCCUUCAAGACCCCUAGAUCAUGCUAUACACCUGGUACCUGGGGCUCUUCUAGUGAAUGUAAGACCUUACAGAUACUCUCCUCUUCAAAAGGAUGAAAUUGAAAAACAAGUGGCUGAGAUGCUAGAAGCGGGGUUGAUAACCCCUAGUGUCAGUCCUUUUGCCUCUUCCGUGUUACUGGUAAAAAAGAAAGAUGGCACAUGGAGAUUCUGUGUGGAUUACAGGAAACUUAACUCCAUCACGGUGAAGAGUAGGUUUCCUAUGCCGGUGGUGGAUGAACUAUUAGAUGAGUUGGCAGGCACUAAGUGGUUUACAAAGUUGGAUCUAAGAGCAGGUUACCACCAGAUCAGAAUGGUACCUGAAGAUGAACAUAAAACGGCUUUUCGGACCCAUAAUGGUCAUUAUCAGUUCAAGGUCAUGGCGUUUGGACUUGCUACAGCUCCGGGUACUUUCCAGGGUAACAUGAAUUUGUACUUGUCCAAAGGGAACAGAAAGUAUGUCAUAUCCUUCAUGGAUGACAUCUUGGUGUUCAGCCAGUCUCUAGUGGACCAUAUAGCUCACCUGAGAGAAGUGCUGCAAAUUUUGAGAGAAAACCAGUUUUAUGCUAAGAUGAGCAAAUGCUCUUUUGCUCAACAACAAUUAGAGUAUUUGGGUCAUAUUAUCUCAGAUAAAGGGGUGGCUACAGAUCCUGAGAAAACUAAAGUGAUGUCGGAGUGGCAUGUUCCUCAAAAUGUCACAGAACUCCGAGGAUUUCUGGGUCUCACCGGGUAUUACAGGAAGUUUGUGCAGCAUUAUGGUAUUAUUGCAAAACCUCUGACACAGCUACUGCAGAAAAACAAUUUUGCAUGGUCCGAGGCGGCUCAACAGGCUUUUGAUAAACUGAAAGUUGCUAUGUCCACUACUCCUGUGUUGUUGUUACCUGACUUUGAUAAGCAGUUCACCAUUGAAACAGAUGCAUGCUCAACGGGUAUUGGAGCUGUUCUUUUGCAACAAGGACAUCCUGUAGCAUUCUACAGUAAAGCACUGGGCAUUAAGAAUCAGCAACUGUCCAUAUAUGAGAAAGAGUUUUUAGCUAUCAUGAUGGUAGUGGAGAAAUGGAGAGCUUACUUGCAAAGAGGACCUUUUAUUAUCAAAACCGAUCAUCAGAGUUUGUGUCAGUUAGGGGAUCAAAUUCUCACAUCUGAUCUUCAACGAAAAGCCAUGACUAAACUGGUGGGACUUCAGUUUCAGUUUCAGUACAAAAAGGGGACUGAAAACACUGUGGCUGAUGCAUUAUCAAGAGUAGGACAUCUGCUUGCGGUGUCUGCAACUUCUCAGAGUCAACCGGUGUGGAUGCAAGAGGUGGUGAAUUCUUAUGAAGUGGACCCUAAAGCACAACAAUUAAUACAACAGCUAGCAGUUUCUACUGAGAAUGCAGAAGGAUUUUCCUUGCAGCAAGGGAUAAUCAAAUUUCAAGAUAGAAUUUGGAUUGGAGCAAAUUCAGCUCUAAAAACCAAAUUAAUAUCUGCAUUUCAUGAUAGUGCAAUGGGAGGCCAUUCGGGGAUACUUGCCACUUACCAGAGAGUUCACAAACUGUUUGCUUGGUCAGGAUUGAAGAAUGAUGUGACUGAAUAUGUGCAACAAUGUGACAUUUGUCAGAAAGCAAAACAUGAACAUUGCAAGUACCCUGGCCUUCUAAAUCCUUUGCAUGUUCCUGAGGGCCCUUGGCAGCAAGUGACUAUGGAUUUCAUCGAAGGACUCCCUAAAUCUGCUGGGUACAGUGUCAUAUUGGUGGUGGUUGAUAGACAUACUAAAUAUGCCCAUUUCAUUCCUCUUAAACAUCCCUUUUCUGCUCCUGUUGUGGCCAAUUUUUGGAGAUAG